GACGAACGCUGGCGGCUGCUUAACACAUGCAAGUCGAACGAGCUGAUUCCUUCGGGAUGAAAGCGAGUGGCGAACGGGUGAGUAAUGUAUGAGUAACCUGCCUCUGUCUACGGGAUAACAUUUGGAAACAAGUGCUAAUACGGUAUAAGACCACAGCACCGCAUGGUGCAGGGGUAAAAGAUUUAUCGGACAGAGAUGGACUCAUAUCCCAUUAGCUAGUUGGUGAGAUAAUAGCCCACCAAGGCGACGAUGGGUAGCCGAGCUGAGAGGCUGAUCGGCCACAUUGGAACUGAAACACGGUCCAGACUCCUACGGGAGGCAGCAGUGGGGAAUAUUGGGCAAUGGAGGAAACUCUGACCCAGCAAUGCCGCGUGAGCGAUGAAGGUCAUCGAUUGUUAAGCUCUUUUCCUGGGAACGAAACAAAUGACGGGACCCAGGGAAUAAGCCCCGGCUAACUACGUGCCAGCAUCCGCGGUAAUACGUAGGGUGCGAGCGUUGUCCGUAAUGACUGGGCGUAAAGGGUGCGUUGGUGUUUUAAUAAGUUAGAAGUGUAAUUCCCAUGGCUUAACUCGUGUGCUGCUUCUUGAACUGUUAUGGCUUGAGUGUUGUAUAAGAUAGCUGAUUUCUAUGUGUUCGUUUGAAUUGCUUAGAUACACUGAAGAACCUUCUGUGGUCCUAGUCGGUUGUCUGGAUUGUUGUUGACAUUGUUGUGCCUGAAGCUUUUGUACCAAUCAAGAUCUCAUAUCCUCUAUGUCUCUGGGCUAAUUCUGUCCUGGUUAUUUGGCCUAUGUAUUCUGCUUGCCCUAUGCUGCGUAUACAGUUGUGUGCUUCUGUCUCUUUGUGUGUUGCUGUGUGUACUGUGCUCCUGUUCCUUCACAUGUGACUGGUUGUGUGUAGGAGUUGAUUCUGCUUGCUUUGUGUUGUUUCCUGUGCUGUAUCUUCUGCCUUGUGUAUACUCUGUUAUCUGCUUGCCUCUGUCUCCAAUGCUCAUGCCCUGACCGCACUUGCU
rnacentral:rRNA from 1 species